rnacentral:rRNA from 1 species
GGAGGGGGGGCAAGCGUUAUUCGGAUUUACUGGGCGUAAAGCGCACGUAGGUGGCAUGAUAAGUCAAAGGGUGAAAGCCCUCGGCUCAACCGAGGAAUUGCCUUUGAAACUGUCUUGCUUGAGUCCGGGAGGGGGGAGCGGAAUUCCCAGUGUAGCGGUGAAAUGCGUAGAUACUGGGAGGAACACCGGUGGCGAAGGCGGCUCCCUGGACCGGUACUGACACUGAGGUGCGAAAGCGUGGGUAGCAAACAGGAUUAGAUACCCUGGUAGUCCACGCCGUAAACGAUGGGCACUAGGUGCAGCGGGUGUCGACCCCUGCUGUGCCGUAGUUAACGCAUUAAGUGCCCCGCCUGGGGAGUACGGUCGCAAGGCUG